UGGACCUUCGCCAAGUGGUAAGGCAACGGGUUUUGGUCCCGUCAUUCGCAGGUUCGAAUCCUGCAGGUCCAGCCA
rnacentral:tRNA from 3 species